CCCGCGGUGCCCUCCCGUAGCCCGGCGGGCCAGUGCCCGGCCCCGCUCCUGCCGCGCCUCUAUUCCGCCCUCGGCCGCCCUUCGUCCUCCUCCCGCUUCUCCCUCAGCAUCGCCGGACGGGGGCUCGGCGGGGACUCUGGGGAGACGCUCCUUCUCCUGCGCUUCCCCGGGCGGCUCUGGCGGGAGGAAUAUUUCGAGCCAUGCCGAAGUAAGAAGUUGUAGAUAACGCAGCGGUUUUCCGCAGCUCCCGUCGGUGCCCGUCAGUAAGUGUUGCCUUCCGCACAUCACCCGCACCGCCCUGCGAGCCCGUGCGAGCCCGGACCGCAUCUCCCCGUUGUUCUGCCGAGCUGCUUCCCCAGAGAUCACAGCUCCUUUUUGAAAAGACCUACAAGAUGCCUUGUUGACAGAAUAAAUAGUUUUGGCAUAACCAGGUGUGGAUUUCAAUCAGCACUGCCAGGUGCAAGCAAACUUCUCAGCAAGCAUGCUUCACCCUACAUGAAGACUAAAUCAGUGCUGUGUGAAUCUGUUAUCUUCUAUAUCACUUCUCAAAACUGGAUCUGGGCUGACAGCAGUAACUCUCAGACAGCUUGCAAUCACAAUGUCCUGCCGCUAUUACAAAGAGGAGUGAAACUAUUCCACUACUUCACAGAAAUCUCUGCAGUGU